rnacentral:rRNA from 1 species
GGACCCGCACAAGCGGUGGAGCAUGUGGUUUAAUUCGAUGCAACGCGAAAAACCUUACCUACUCUUGACAUACUUGGGAGCUCUUGUAAUGAGAGUGUGCCUUUUGGAACCAAGAUACAGGUGCUGCAUGGCUGUCGUCAGCUCGUGUCGUGAGAUGUUCCGUUAAGUCGGAUAACGAGCGCAACCCUUACCCUUAUUUGCCAGCGAUUCGGUCGGGAACUAUAAGGGGACUGCCGGUGAUAAACCGGAGGAAGGUGAGGACGACGUCAAGUCAUCAUGGCCCUUACGAGUAGGGCUACACACGUGCUACAAUGGCCGGUACAGAGAGCAGCCACUUCGCAAGAAGGAGCG